rnacentral:rRNA from 1 species
AACAAACGCUGGCGGCAGGCCUAACACAUGCAAGUCGAACGAACCCUUCGGGGUUAGUGGCGGACGGGUGAGUAACACGUGGGAACGUGCCUUUAGGUUCGGAAUAACUCAGGGAAACUUGUUCUAAUACCGAAUGUGCCCUUCGGGGGAAAGAUUUAUCGCCUUUAGAGCGGCCCGCGUCUGAUUAGCUAGUUGGUGAGGUAAAGGCUCACCAAGGCUACGAUCAGUAGCUGGUCUGAGAGGAUGACCAGCCACAUUGGGACUGCGACACGGCCCAAACUCCUACGGGAGGCAGCAGUGGGGAAUUUUGCGCAAUGGGCGAAAGCCUGACGCAGCCAUGCCGCGUGGAUGAUGAAGGUCUUAGGAUUGUAAAAUCCUUUCACCGGUGAAGAUAAUGACUGUAGCCGGAGAAGAAGCCCCGGCUAACUUCGUGCCAGCCGCCGCGGUAAAAC